UUUAUAUAAAUUAAAGGUGAUACCUGCCCAGUGAUAAGAAAAUUAAAAUUAUAAUUAAAUUUAAAUCUUAUUAAACGGAUGCGGUAACUCUGACUGUAAUAAAGUAGCAUAAUAAGUUGUCAUUUAAUUGGUGAAAGGGAUGAAUGGUAAAACGAGCUUUUCAUUGUCUUAUUUAAAGAUUUUUUGAAAUUAAAAUAAUAGUGAAGAUUCUAUUUAAAAUCGUAAGACGAAAAGACCCUAUAGAGCUUUACUAUAAUUUUUUUUAGGUUAAUGAAAUUUUCAUGAAUUAAAUAAAUAUUGGUAGUUUAGUUGGGGCGACUGUUUUUUAUAUUUAACAAAAACAAGCAAUGUUAAUAAUUUAACUUAUUGUAUAACUAAAAAUUUUAACAAUUAUAAUAAUAGGCUAUAAUGACCCGUUAAUUUUUAUAAAUCAAUUUAACGAUUAAUUAAUAAAAGCUACCUUAGGGAUAACAGGAUAAUUUUGUUUUAGAGUUCUUAUCAAUUUCAAAGUUUGUCACCUCUAUGUUGAAUUAAGAUAUCCCAAUAAUGCAGAAGUUAUUAAAGGUAGGUCUGUUCGACCUUUAAAAUCUUACAUGAUUUGAGUUCAUUC
rnacentral:rRNA from 1 species